CAGAAACACUAAAAGCUAAGUAUGCAGUCAUUCGUACCUUAUAGUUUCUUGUCAAUAGAAUUUAACUGAUAAAGGUUACAUCAUUAUUUUUAUACCUUUUGCAGGUUCCAAGAAUGUUGGGUUAAAGAAUCUCAGAAGCCAAAGCCAUGGCUAUUAAAAGCAUUAAACAGUAGCCUUGGAGGAAGGUUUUGGUGGGGAGGCUUUUGGAAGAUGUGACAAGCGAAAUAGAAAAUGAUACUUAAUUUUGAAGGCCUUGUGUUGGGCAGCUGUAGAAUAUUUUGUGCUGAAAGUAGUAACUUUUCAAUAUGUUGAAUAUUUAAGAAUACUUGAAUACUUAAAGAACAUUUUGUUGUUGAUGACUGUGUUGAAUGUUUUAAACUAAUUUGUGGAUUGUUAAUACAAUGUUGAAUGUUUUUACUUUUUGU